GGUUGUAGCUCAGUGGUGGAGCACUUGCCUCACAAGUAUAAGCCACUGGAUUUGAUCCUUAGCACCACAUAAAAAUAAAAUAAAUAAAGGCAUUCGGUCCAUCUAUAACUAAAAAAUAUAUAUAACAAAUUAUAUGAAACAAAAAUUAAAAACAGAUACAUGGGCACAUGACAGGCUUGGAGAAUAGCUCUGUGGCUAAGUACAUGCCUAGAAUGAGAGUACCUGGGUUUGAUCCCCAGCACAGCA
rnacentral:tRNA from 1 species